rnacentral:rRNA from 1 species
CAAAGCAAGCGGACGAAGGCAUACACAAAGGAUGAGGACGAGCUCCUUUGUGAAUGUUGGAGGGACAUUGGACAAGACCCCAAGAUUGGCGCCAAGCAAAAGGCGUCAACCUUUUGGCUAUGUGUUCAUCGCGAAUUUCUUGAGCGUAAGAAGUUCGCACCAUACCAAAUGGAGAGCAAGCGCUAGUGGGUGCCCCUCUCGACGCGUCGGAGGGUGAUACAAUAA